GCAGCCGCGGUAAUACGUAGGUGGCGAGCGUUAUCCGGAAUUACUGGGUGUAAAGGGUGUGUAGGCGGGCUUGCAAGUCAGGUGUGAAAACUAUGGGCUCAACCCAUAGCCUGCACUUGAAACUGUAGGUCUUGAGAGUCGGAGAGGUAAACGGAAUUCCGAGUGUAGCGGUGAAAUGCGUAGAUAUUCGGAGGAACACCGGUGGCGAAGGCGGUUUACUGGACGACAACUGACGCUGAGACACGAAAGCGUGGGGAGCAAACAGGAUUAGAUACCCC
rnacentral:rRNA from 1 species